rnacentral:rRNA from 1 species
GACGAACGCUGGCGGCGUGCUUAACACAUGCAAGUCGAACGGAAAGGCCCUGCUUUUGUGGGGUGCUCGAGUGGCGAACGGGUGAGUAACACGUGAGUAACCUGCCCUUGACUUUGGGAUAACUUCAGGAAACUGGGGCUAAUACCGGAUAGUAGCUCCUGCUGCAUGGUGGGGGUUGGAAAGUUUCGGCGGUUGGGGAUGGACUCGCGGCUUAUCAGCUUGUUGGUGGGGUAGUGGCUUACCAAGGCUUUGACGGGUAGCCGGCCUGAGAGGGUGACCGGCCACAUUGGGACUGAGAUACGGCCCAGACUCCUACGGGAGGCAGCAGUGGGGAAUAUUGCGCAAUGGGCGGAAGCCUGAUGCAGCAACGCCGCGUGCGGGAUGACGGCCUUCGGGUUGUAAACCGCUUUCGCCUGUGACGAAGCGUGAGUGACGGUAAUGGGUAAAGAAGCACCGGCUAACUACGUG